rnacentral:lncRNA from 1 species
GUCCGGCAGUUUUCUCAGAGCCAAAGGAACCAAUCUGAAUGAUGGUGCACUAUAACAAGGAACCCUGACUUUCCAGUUGCAGUGCAACUUUGGAACUAAAAAAUGGCUGCCAUCACCAUGGAAACCGAAAAAUAAUGGAAAAUUCCAGUUUUUGGUUUUGAUGAAUUAUUUGGAAAUGCUUUAACUUAAAAUCAUUAUAUUUUGAUACAAUGUAGGUGCCGGGCAUAUACUGGUUUUGGAUGAUUUUGGCAAUCAUUGGAACUGCUAUGUUGCCAUGGAUACUACACCAAAAAUUUCAAAAAUAUGGAAAUGCUCCAAAUUUUAUAAAACUUCACAGUAAUGAUGAGCAACAUUGGUAGAGGUGGAAUUUGGUGUUGCAAUUUCGAAAAUGUCUGCCGUUACCAUGGAAACAAUGCAAA